rnacentral:rRNA from 1 species
AUUGAACGCUGGCGGCAGGCCUAACACAUGCAAGUCGAGCGAGCGGCGGACGGGUGGGUAAUGUCUGGGGAACUGCCUGAUGGAGGGGGAUAACUACUGGAAACGGUAGCUAAUACCGCAUACCAUCAGAUGUACCCAUAUGGGAUUAGCUAGUAGGUGUGGUAAUGGCUCAACUAGGCGACGAUCCCUAGCUGGUCUGAGAGGAUGAACAGCAACCCUGGAACGGAGACAAGGUCCAGAAUCCUACGGGAGGCAGCAGUGGGGAAUAUGGCACAAUGGGCGCAAGCCUGAUGCAGCCAUGCCGCGUGUGUGAAGAAGGCCUUAGGGUUGUAAAGCACUUUCAGCGGGGAGGCGUUACCCGCAGAAGAAGCACCGGCUAACUCCGUGCCAGCAGCCGCGGUAAUUC